rnacentral:sRNA from 12 species
UACUCUAAAUGUAGAUUUAGAGGUACUGUAUUUCUGUCAAGUAUUUAUAUACGAUUUCUCGCAAGAAAUCCACU